rnacentral:rRNA from 1 species
GUAACGGCCUACCAAGGCAACGAUGGUUAGCUGGUCUGAGAGGAUGAUCAGCCACACUGGAACUGAGAUACGGUCCAGACUCCUACGGGAGGCAGCAGUGAGGAAUAUUGCGCAAUGGGGGCAACCCUGACGCAGCAACGCCGCGUGAGUGAGGAAGGUUUUCGGACUGUAAAGCUCUGUCGAGCGGGAAGAAAUGUGUAAAGGUUAAUACACUUUACGUUUGACGGUACCGCUAAAGGAAGCACCGGCUAACUCCGUGCCAGCAGCCGCGGUAAUACGGGGGGUGCAAGCGUUGUUCGGAAUUAUUGGGCGUAAAGAGCGUGUAGGCGGCUUGAUAAGUCAGAUGUGAAAGCCCCGGGCUUAACCCGGGAAGUGCAUUUGAAACUGUCUUGCUAGAGUAAGGGAGGGGGAAGUGGAAUUCCUGGUGUAGAGGUGAAAUUCGUAGAUAUCAGGAGGAACACCGGCGGCGAAGGCGACUUCCUGGCCCUACACUGACGCUGAGACGCGAGAGCGUGGGUAGCAAACAGGAUUAGAUACCCUGGUAGUCCACGCCGUAAACGAUGUUCACUAUGUGUUGGGGGUAUUGACCCCCUCAGUGCCGGAGCUAACGCAUUAAGUGAACCGCCUGGGGAGUACGGUCGCAAGACUAAAACUCAAAGGAAUUGACGGGGGCCCGCACAAGCGGUGGAGCAUGUGGUUUAAUUCGAUGCAACGCGAAGAACCUUACCUGGGCUUGACAUC